rnacentral:rRNA from 1 species
AUUGAACGCUGGCGGCAGGCCUAACACAUGCAAGUCGAACGAGUGGCGGACGGGUGAGUCAUGUCUGGGAAACUGCCUGAUGGGGGGGGAUAACUACUGGAAACGGUAGCUAAUACCGCAUACCAUCAGAUGUGCCCAGAGGGGAUUGGCUUGUUGGGGGGGUAACGGCUCACAAAGGCGCAGAUCCCUACCUGGUCUGAGAGGAGGAACAGCCACACUGGAACUGAGACACGGUCCAGACUCCUACGGGAGGCAGCAGUGGGGAAUAUUGCACAAUGGGCGCAAGCCUGAUGCAGCCAUGCCGCGUGUAUGAAGAAGGCCUUCGGGUUGUAAAGUACUUGCAGCGGGGAGGCGUUACCCGCAGAAGAAGCACCGGCUAACUCCGUGCCAGCAGCCGCGGUAAUUC